CCAGAAUAUUAAAUGCUAUCACACAUCCAUUUUCAAGUUUGAGUGUUCAUCAACUCAUCCUAACAUAAAAGGAGCAGGAGACCCAAAUAUCAAUACAAUCACAGUCUGCAUUUUCUGAAUAGUUUCCUGAUCAGCAAAAUUUUAGCCAUGGUGAAAAUCUUUAUACCAGAGAUUCACAUCCUGUAGCCUAAGUUCAUCUGUCUUUGGAUGGAAAAGAGAAGGAUAUACAAAAAUAUAGCUGGAAUUGGCCUGUUGUUGCCAAGAGCUAAUCUGCCAUUCACACCUAGGUAAUUUCGGCUAGUUUUUGUGUUGUACUGAAUAUAAAAAUUAUCAGAAUACAAACAAUAGAUAAGAUCACUCUUUGAUCUUGAUGAGUUGAGACAAAAACAAGACAGCUCCAUAGUCAUGGAGUGAACUCAUAUAAAAUAACUGAACUUAUAUAAAAAUGAACUAAAAUAAGGACCAAAUAUUCACCUAUCUUGACUAGUAUAAAUGGCCAUUGCUUCUUCACCAAUUAAAUUUCAUUGGUCUGUGGUUUCCCUUACAUAAUUAUCCACACUUCAUUCCUAUCAUUUCCUAAAUACGGCUUAUUUAGAUCUCCAAUCAUAGAAUUACCACCACUUCCAGAUAACAUCUAUUCCAGAGCAAAGCACCGCUUUCUUUAUAUCUCCUCCAGAUCUAAUAAUACCUCCUAACAAGGACCCCUGUAGUUCUCCAUGAUGUUUGUUUUCUUUCAUUGCAAUGAGUUAAUAGUCAACUUUUUAAAACUAUAUGUGUGUUCACAGUGAUCGUCAGCUAAAGAGAAUUGACACCUGGAAUAAGAAAGAUUUUACUUUGACAUGAAUAACCAGCUAUUAUUUCAUUGAAAAGAAGCCAUCUUCCAAUAUGAAUGAUUAAAUCUGUGGCCACAAGUUUUCUGAAGACACCAAUAAUCUCAUUAAAGACUAUGAGGACGCCCAAUGAUUUGCAGCUGUGGAUGAAUCUCUGCGUGAGGAAACUCAGUAGACCAAGCAUUAUGAUUCCUCAGACAACUUCUGGGAAGGUAAUAAUUUAAGAAUUUUUAUACCAUCCUUAUGGAAAAUUAUACAUAAGGAAAAAAAUUUCUUCUAAAAUAAUUUUUAAAACUCAGUUUCUAACAGUUCGGGAGUUCCUCAAAAAGCUAAAAACAGAAUUGUCAUAUGACUUAACAGUUCAACUCCUCAGCAUAUAUCCAAAAAGAUUGAAAACAGAGGAACAGACACUAGUACACACAGUACAUCAUAUAAUUCACAAUAACCAAAAGGUGAAAACAAUCCAAAUAUCCAUCAACAAAUGAGUGUAUAAACAAAGUGUGGCAUAUACUACAAUGAAUGAAAAACUAUUCAUCCUGAAAAAAAAUGAGGUUCUGAUACAUGCUACGACAUGACAAACCUUGAAAACAUUAUGCUAAUGAAAUAAGCCAGACACACAAAAGGAUAAAUAGCAUAAGAUUCCACUUAGAUGAAAUAUAAAGAAUAGGCAAAUUGAUAGAAACAGAAAGUAGAUUUGAAUUUUUCAAGAGUUGAAGAAGAGGAAAAUGGGGAGUUAUAACAAUGCUUACAGUUUCUAUUUGAACUCAUCGAAAAGUUUGGAAAGAGCGAUGAUGCUUGUGAAUGUAAUUAAUGGCAC
rnacentral:lncRNA from 1 species